rnacentral:rRNA from 1 species
UGGGGAAUAUUGGACAAUGGGCGCAAGCCUGAUCCAGCCAUGCCGCGUGAGUGAUGAAGGCCCUAGGGUUGUAAAGCUCUUUCACCGGUGAAGAUAAUGACGGUAACCGGAGAAGAAGCCCCGGCUAACUUCGUGCCAGCAGCCGCGGUAAUACGAAGGGGGCUAGCGUUGUUCGGAUUUACUGGGCGUAAAGCGCACGUAGGCGGACUAUUAAGUCAGGGGUGAAAUCCCGGGGCUCAACCCCGGAACUGCCUUUGAUACUGGUAGUCUUGAGUUCGAGGGAGGUGGGUGGAAUUCCGAGUGUAGAGGUGAAAUUCGGAGAUAUUCGGAGGAACAACAGUGGCGAAGGCGGCUCACUGGCUGGAUACUGACGCUGAGGUGCGAAAGCGGGGGGAGCAAACAGG